UCACAUCCCUAGCUUCUGGUACUGCCUGGUGUUUUGCAUCUUGUUGCAUCAUGUUUAAAUUCUAUUUGAAUUUGAAAUGGGGAUUGAUCAAACCCUAGCACUUUGAAAUUCAAUUAGGUCUAGUAAAAAAAUGCUUUCAAUGAACCAAAGUACCCUUCAUCAUGUUUGCUAUUUUUGGCAAGGCUUUGGUUCCAAACCAAAAAUAUUGAACAUUUUUAAGAAAUAUUUUGGGAACUGAAAUUAAAUCAUAUUGUAUUUGAAUUUGAAUUUAUAUUCCUAAUAUAUAGAAUAUAUUUUCAAAUGUAUCAGAAAUAUUUGUGUGCACUUGGAAAAGUCCAUAUAAGCCACAUUGGUAUUAGAGAAAGUUUUGGCACUGAUUCGAACUUGUUUUGAGUUUAAACAGUGGCAAAACAAAACAAAAUAGAAAAACAGAAUAGAAAAACAAACAGAAGCAAACAAAAUAGAGAGAGAGAGAGAGAGUUUAUCUAGCAGCCCACUUACCUGGCCCAACUCCUCUAGCCGGCCCAGCCGAUUGGCGACGCCAGUCGUCCUCCUCCUCGAGCCAGAAGGACGAGCACGCCUGCGCGCCCGAGAGCGCCACGCCACCAGGGCGUCUGCCUAUGUCCCCAGGCCAGCUCGACACCGCGGCCGACCUCCUUUGUGCCGUCCCGAUUGCUCUGACCCUCUCACUCUCCCCCCUGCUCUGUCCCUCGCCUCUGCCGCCAUGGCCAAUUCUCCCGCGAGCUUGCUGUCGUCGCCCGCGUAGCCACCGCCUCCCCCUUGCUUCUCCGACCAUGUCCAGAGCUCCGCAACGACUUAAGGCUACUCCACGACAAAGUAGGCGAGCCCGGAGGCACCGCAGCGACGCCAUCACCGUCUUGUCCACCACCGGUCACCGGACCUUCCCGUCAUCGAUUCGCUGGCUCUAGGGACCUACUACUCCGCCUCCCUGUGAGCUCACGAAUCUUUCCCCUCUAGCGCCGCUAUCAUUUUCGUCCUCUAACUCGCCUAGCCGCCGGAGCCGUGAGCUCUUCGCUGCUGGCCUCGAUGCUGUCGUGCCCACAGCCGCCGCCGCUUGCGUCCAAGCACUGGAACAUGCUCAGGACCUCCCAAGAAACCCAAUGCCACCACCCAAGCCUCCCUCCGUGCACCCUAGCAUGGUCCUCACUGACCGAACUCUGGCCGCCGCCACGGGCUCAGUUCCGGUGAGCUCAGGCCACCCCAGCUCCUCCCAUUCGCUCCACCAGAUGCGCGAGAACCACAGCUUGCCCUAGCCGCAAACCGCGCCCUAAAUGGUGCUCUGUAGCGCGAUCCCGACUCCCUCCGCUGUGGAUUUGGUCGCUGGCGGCUAAACACCGGCAGCUGACGUGGCCGUCAUUAGCUUGAGGCUUAUUAACAUGUUAAUCUCGCCCUGUGCCACUAACAGACCGGCCCCACCCCCCAGUUAACCGUGGGGUAAACCCCUGUUAAAUUUUAACCUAACCAACGUGGACCCACACGUCAGUUGACCCGCUGACGUCACCGUUGACUGCCCCAUCUGUCUGUGACUCGAGCCAGCAUUGUGAGACUGACCAGUGGGACCCACUGGUCAGGUUUGACCUGGACCCAUUCUGUUGACCUGCUGAGGUCAGCAUGACAUAGUGCUGACGCAAUAAGCUAUUUUCUGGGUUUAAUUUAAUCCAGGAAAUUCCAGAAAAUGUUUUAAACUUCUAAAAAUCAUAUAAAAUCAACCAUAACUCCAAAUGAAAUAAUUUAUAUAUGAAAAAUUAUCAGAAAAAUCCAAUCUAUCCAUUUAUGCUAUUUUCAUGCAUGUUAGAACAACUUAAGGCCACUGUUUAGGACAAAUCAAAUGAAUGAUAUUUAAAUAACCACAUGUGGAGUUUGAAUUUGAACUUUGGGUUCAAACCAACUUCAUUUAAAUGUGUUGCUAGUUGCAUUAGCUCAAUCAACAACACAUUGCCAUGUCAUUAUCAUGCAUCAAGUUGUGCAUUGCAUUAAUUGUGUUCCUUCUCUGUUGCCGGUGGUUGUCACCUCUCGAUAGAUGUUGUACCAACGCUGUGAUCGUUGACACUGAUGAAGACCCAAUGAUAUCUUCAGAAGUGCCAGGCAAGCAAAACCCCCUUGUUCAUUCCGAUACAAUCCUACUCUCUCGCUCCUGCUCUCUUUUACUGCAUUAGUACAACAACGAUUCAACUGUUACAUGCUGCGGUAGUUGAACCCCUUUCCCCUGCAUGACCUAUCAUUGCCACAGUAAAUAGAUCAAACCCACUAGCAUGAGUAGGAAUUGUUUGAGCCCUGAUGUGCCUACUCAUUCAUGAUUGUUGUCAUUCCUGCUACUGCUUAGAGUUGAGUCAAGUCUGAUUCAUCGGGAAUGAAUUGGAACGUGGUGAACAUGUCCUACCAUUGAGAGCUAAGUGUGUGAACACGAUUUGGUAAAGAUAGUGGUGAGAGGCCAUGUAGGAGUACAUGGUGGGUUGUCUCAUUGCAGCCGUCCUUAGGAACCGAGUUCUGUGUUUGUGAUCCAUGAACAACUACUACCAUGCAUUGGAAUGCUUAAGUGCCCCUCUCGACUUAUUAAUCAACCUGAUCUCUUUCUAGGAGUUGCAACUAGUUUCUGGUGUUUGUAGGUAGUGUUAGUAGUCUACCAAGUGGCACCCGGUACAGGUGGGCUUGGUACAGACUAGGCACAGUGGCCCGGUGUACAAAGUGGCACCCGGAUGGUGGGCUUGGGAACCCUGUACACAUCGUUUGGGGCCGUGAGCGACACCCCGGCCGGAUCUCCUUGCGGAUGGAACCUGAAUAGGCGAUAAACCUGGACUAGAGACUUGUUGGUUAGUCAAGUCAUGGCCGACUCCCUCGCCAGGCUUCCGCUUGAAGGUUGCCGAGAUACACAACAUGUACAUGGUGGUAAGUGGCGAGAGCGUGUGUGAAGAAGUACACCCCUGUAGGGUUAUCAUUAUCUAUUUGAAUAGUUGGAUUCCUCGGAUAUGGAAACUUGGACCACUUGCAUAGUUCAUAGACAAGUGAAAGUGGAUACUCUAAAAUGCGCAAGAUAAGUGUGAGUGCUAUGGAUGGCGUUCUCGCAGGGAGACGGGAGCGGAUCCAUAGUGGUGUAUUGGUAUGGUGAAUUUGUGGACUCGUGUGCGCCACCUCAAAAGAGUUACUUGCAGUCAUAGUUCAGGUUAGCCACCGAGUCAAAGCUGGCUUGCUGCAGUUAACUCCACCACCCCUUUGUUGAUACCGAUGCAUAUGUAGAUAGUUCUGAUAUAAGUCUUGCUGGGUACAUUGUACUCAUGUUUGCUUAUUUUAUGUUUUGCAGAGAGACUUCAGUCUCGCUAGUAGUUCCGCUUGGACUUCGACGUUUAGCUUGUUACCUCAGCUACGAUCUUGUACCCUUGGGAGGGUCUUGUAUAUAGUUAGGCUUCUGAGCCUUCUUCAUUUGUAGUUUUCUGUACUCAGACAAGUUAAGCUUCCGCAUGUGCUUGUUGCUUGUAUGCUCUGAAUGUUGGGUCAUGAGACCCAUGUUUGUAAUAUCUCGCUCCUCGGAGCCUAAUGAGUAAAUACUUUGAGUCGUAGAGUCUUGUUGUGAUGCCAUGUUGUAUUGCACAUAUUGAGCAUAUUGUGUGUAUGAUUGAAAUGCUUGGUAUGUAUGGGAUCCGACAACCUAGUUGUUUAUCCUUGGUAGCCUCUCUUAUGGGAAAAUGUAGUCUUGUGCUUCCAUGAGCCAUAGUAGUCCGCUACAGCCCGGUUCACCGGAGUCCUACUAGCCCAGCACUACUGCUCUGGAACACUUGACUGGCCAGCAUGUGAUUCACUUUGUUCCUGUGUCUGUCCCUUCGGGGAAAUGUCACGCAGUGACAUCCGGAGUUCUGCCUAGCCUGCUACAGCCCGGUUCGCCGGAGUCCUGCUAGCCCAGUGCUACAGCCCGGAUUCGCAAGCUGCUGACCGACAUGCUCGAAGUUGAUUCAUGUAUGCCUGUCCCCAUAAGUUGGUGCCACUUUGGGUUCACGACUAGUCAUGUCGGCCCGGGUUCUCUGUCAUAUGGAUGCUAGCGACACUAUCAUAUACGUGAGCCAAAAGGCGCAAACGGUCCCGGGCCAUGGUAAGGCGACACCCGUGGGAAUACCGUGCGUGAGGCCGCAAAGUGAUAUGAGGUUUUACAGGCUAGAUCGGUGUGAAUUAGAAUCGGGGUCCUGACAGCUUUGGUAUCAGAGCCUGACUGCAUGUAGGAUUACCAAGCCAAGCUAGUUGUAGUCGUGUCUAGAAAUGCUUUAGUUAUAUAAGGGAAUUGAUUGUGGGAGGAAACGUAAGGCUCUUUUACUCCUUAUCCUCAUGACCUUCUGAUCUGAGUCAUCUUAUCUUUUCUACGGGGUUAAGAACUAGGCUUCACUUCUGUCUCUCAGGAUGACGUGUUACUAAACCGUAGUUGCCUAGGAUUGUUGAUUUCAAGCCUCAAUUCAGUUCCUACUACUUCCAUAUGUUCAUAGCUGGCCUCAGUACCUUGGGUUUGUGAUGCUGAGUGGCUAUGCCGCCAUAUUUGCAGGUUGUCUCAAAUCUUUUCGAGCAUUUAUAGCCGUUAUGCUGUCCGAGUCAUUCCAGGUUUCUAAAUAAUCUGAUGCAUUUGCAAAUCCUUCCUCCGUUCCCGAUGUCCUUUUGGUCAGAAUAAGCACACUAGCCAGUGAGUUGAGGUACUCUGUUGCCUCGACAUAUAUGUUGGAGCUAUUAUUAUGACCCUAGGUGUCUUAGAGAGUCACCUAGUAAUCUAGCAAUGCUUUGUAUUCCCGGUGUGAUGAUUCUGGCCAUUGUUCUCGAAAGCAUCCCAUGAUGCCAUUUAUUAGUAGGUAUUCUACUCUUGGGUUCCUGACCCAAGAUUCACUCCACUUACCUUCUGUUGAUAGUGUUUGCUAGUUCGUUUAGAAUAUUAGUAACCUUUGCGAUACUCCUCGAGGUCUGUGGUAUUUCCUUCUUCCAAAUACCAUGAACUGCUUAUGGCAGAAGUUCUUUUGAACCAAAAGAUCACAACCAAAGUGCUCUUGAGGAGUUCUCCAUUCUAAAUUGUGACUCUACCAGUUCUACCUUUCUGCAUGGGUUAUCCGGAAGAAAUAUGUUGAACUCGUUCGACAUACUAAUCUAUGCAUCCACAACUCAGAAAGUUAUAUGUUCCUUUGAGUUGUCCCCCUUCAGUUAUAUUCCGACCUUCAUCUAUCAGUUGAUAGUCAAGAGUAUGUGAGCAUUCGUUCAUUGGUGCUUAUCGUACUUGUGGUCCGUCAAGCCACUCUAGUUCAAAAUGACUAGGAGAAACAAACUCUGGUACCUUAUCCAUUUCUUGGAUUAGGUCAAAUAGUUGUAUUCCGCAGAUUAAAUGCCAACCCAACUUUUGAUUAUGUUCUACCCUGAAGUAUUACCGUCUUAUGUCAAGAAUGUCAUGAGAAUUGCACCACCUCUUAUGAAUUGUUGACGCAGUGAUACUUCUUGCCAUCAUUAUUCAUUCCUCGAUUCCCGUGUUGUGGUAACCAGAAUACCGACAAGGGAAUCAUAAUGUGUGCAAUCAAUACUCCUAGCAACCCCGUUGCUUGGUAGUUAAUGCACAAUAAUCUCAUUCUUAGCGUGUUGGUUGUUGAAUCAUCACCGUAAGAUUGAUCAUGCUACCUAGUCCUUGUUUCUGGUGCACCCUUCGAUUGAUGAGUUAGGAUUUUGUCAAAUCCUUGCUCAUUUGAUCAUAUCGUCCUGCCCUAAAAAGCAAGAUUGUUCUCGAUCUUAUUAACAUAUCGGCGGUUCAUGAUUUUCCGGUUAUCUUCACGGAAGUAUCACUAGGUCGUCCCCUGACCGAUAUGUGGAGUUCGUGAUCAAGUUGGUUUCUUGUAAACUAGCCAUUCUCCAAGAAUCUGUGUUGGAUACCCCUGAGCUAGUUGGUGAAGCUAAACAACAACUUGGAGAGUUGGAAGAUAAAAGCUUGUCUGACUUAGUUCGUGUUAAGGGAUAUCUUUUGUGUGUGUGUGUGUUGAAGAAAGAUGAUAUCUUCAUCGAUUGGUCCUCGUGAUUAGUUGUUGGAUCUAUUGUCUUGUCCAAACUUUGAUUUGAGUGCCGGCUAUCAUCAAAUCAAAUCAGAACCAACGAUGUUCAUAAUCUUGUCUUACUCGUGGUUGAUCCCUCGAGCAUACACCAUUAUAUAUUUUGGGUCUGACCAAUGUUAUCAUCUUGUUCACAUAACCAUGUAACCCCAUCUUAUGGAAAUCUUGAUAAAUUGUUGUUGAGCCCAUCGACAACGUCUUUAUCUUCUUCGUGAUUCAUGUUGAACAUUAAGCUAGUGUUGGAAACUUUUGAAGGCAUUUCUUCAUGCUAGGUCAUGAAGCAUAUGUUUGGAUGGAAGAAGUGACUGCCUCUAAUACAUGUGCAUUGAAGCAAGUUGCCUUCGUGAAUUCGAGAAAGUCAAUGUGGUUUCCUCUAGAAUCAUCCCAAGUCAGCCAUGUACGUGCAAAAUAUUCUGUGGUAUGUUAGACUGAUCAUCUUCAUUCCAUAUGAAUUCCAUAGCACACUAAGCCACUGAUUGAUUUGUUCAAGGAGAAGAAGUUCCUUCUUAAGAGCUAAUCCGGACUUAUGCAAGGACUUUGAUAUCCUCGAUGAUGGUUCCUGACCUGAACUUCGGUAGUGUUUUAUUAUAAGACUACUAUGUGGUCAUGCUUGUCUUGGACAGUGUGUUCACAUGUUUGUAGCAGAACCAGCUCAUGUUUUGGAGCUUACUACCAUAGUCCAUUUCCCGAGAAUCCUGCAACAUCAUCUCGUCGACUUGUGUUGCAAACUUUCGUUUUUCUCUCUAGACUUGAUGAGUCUGGAAUAUCCUGACACCAACCAGAUCUGAAUCUCAGGCAGAUAUGAUGGUUGGACCUUUUCCCAGGAAUUAUAAUGUUGGUCUUUCUAAACUAGUAAGGUGGAUGUCGUGGCCAACACACCCAGCCGGAAGACCUAUCAUUGUAGUAUCUUGAUUGAGGAAGUUGGCCACCUCCCCAUAAGGAUUUCGUAGAAUUUACUCCAGUAGUUAUUCCUUAUGGAUUCUUGUGCUCCCGAAGUCCGACCUUUUACUUGAUGUCCUAGAUACCAAACCAUAUCAAUAAAUGGGUUAUCCUAGCACAUCAAGGAGAACAUUAGAAGCGGAGUGCUAAAUGCCUCUCGGUCGAUCAUCCAAAUUUUGAUCCCUUGGCCUCGCUAAGGUGAACUCUGAGAAGGUGUUAUCUUCCUUUGCAUCUGCAUCGUCCAUCACUAUUCAUCAUGGUAGUAUGUUGUGUUGCCAGGAUCCUUGACACGGAUGUUGGUAGAACCUUGAUGAAUAUGGAAAUGCUCAAGCUCUUGAGAGCACGCGCAAGCAAAAUCACUCAUUGCGUUGUCUUCAACAAGGUAGUCCACAUCAUCCAUUCUAGUCUGGGUAUGCCAUCCCUACUUACUCCGCUUCAACGAGCCACCUACUCUAGCUGCCCCGUUAUGGAAUCAUGGCAAUUUAUCUCCUCGUUACUUUGAAAUGCAUCCACCAUCCUUUCAAGCGUGGGAUUGUUGCCUACCAAAUUGAACCUUCGUCAUCUGCUUCUCCAUAACCCUCCUGAUGCGUGACUUGUGUCUCGGCUCAAGAGACGUUCUUUCGCCUCAUUCCAUGAGUUGAUCGUGUAUCGCUUGAUCUUUGUGAAGAUCGAAUUCUGUCGAGUUUCCUCUGUUCCGUCAGCAUAGUUGGAUGAAGAUCUCAAAAGCAAGGAUGUCAAGAUCAAUUUAAAGGAAUAAAUCAACAUCUUCGAGAAGGACAGUUUGGAUCAUGAGAUCGUGUUAUCUUUGUGUCCCCUCCUUCUACUUACCUCACGUCUUGAAUCUCGGGACGAGAUUCUUGUUUAGUAGGGGUGAGUUGUCACAUCCCUAGCUUCUGGUACUGCCUGGUGUUUUGCAUCUUGUUGCAUCAUGUUUAAAUUCUAUUUGAAUUUGAAAUGGGGAUUGAUCAAACCCUAGCACUCUGAAAUUCAAUUAGGUCUAGUAAAAAAUGCUUUCAAUGAACCAAAGUACCCUUCAUCAUGUUUGCUACAUUUGGCAAGGCCUUGGUUCCAAACCAAAAAUAUUGAACAUUUUUAAGGAAUAUUUUGGGCACUGAAAUUAAAUCAUAUUGUAUUUGAAUUUGAAUUUAUAUUCCUAAUAUAUAGAAUAUAUUUUCAAAUGUAUCAGAAAUAUUUGUGUGCACUUGGAAAAGUCCAU
rnacentral:lncRNA from 1 species